ensembl:lncRNA
GGUUCGAUCCCUGGCCUUGCUCAGUGGGUUAAGGAUCCAGCGUUGCCAUGAGCUAUGGUGUAGGUUGCAGACACGGCUCAGAUCCUGUGUUGCUGUGGCUGUGGUGUAGGCUGGCGGCUACAGCGCCGAUUAGACCCCUAGCCUGGGAACCUCCAUAUGCCGCGGAAGAUGCCCUAGAAAAGGAAAAAAGAAAAAGAAAAAAAAAUAUCCACGUGGAUCCUCAGAUGUCCUUAUUUGGAAUUUGCAUACGUAGUGAACAGAAGGAUCUUGAAGUGUGACCGUGCUGAAUUAGGGUGGCCCUCAAUUCAAUGAGGAGAGCCCUAGGACGAGACAGAAAGGAGACAGAGCCCCCGGGGAGGCCAUGUGACCACCGAGGCAGAAAAUGGAGAUUCCGCUGCCCCCACGCCAAGGAGCAUCAAGCGAUGCCAACAGCCACCAGAAGCGAGCAGAGAAGCAUGGACUGGCUCCUCCCUCAGAGACUCCAGAAGGAACCAACACUGCCAACAGCUUGAUUUAGGACUUCUGGCCUCCAGAACUGUGAGAAAAAAAAAAAAUCCUGUUGUGUAAGCCACCUGGUUUGUGGUACUUGGCAACAGCGGCCCUAAGCAAGUCACCCAGUCACCUGACUUGGAGCAGCCAUCCCAGAGGUCCAGGUAGGAGUGCCGCUUCCUGGCUGUAGCCAGGUCAAGGGACAUAGGAACGUGGAAAGGUCGGGAACUCUUUCCACUUUGCUCCAGAACUCAGUUUCUGGGUUUAUACACCCAGCCCUUCCUGCCCAACAGGAGAUGGGAAGAGAUUUCUCUGAAGAAGCCAACUGCCCUAGCUAGUGACUUUGCAGAACCUCUCCUGUGAGACAUGGCUUCUGUCAUAUGUCCGUGCAACCGUCUUAAAUGGACAACAAAUAAUCAUAAAUGGGAAUAAAUUCAGAGCAUUAAGAACAUGACGUGCAGAGAUUUAUAAGUCUGGGGAGCACUGCGUUCUCUAGGAAACUGGCCCUCCUUCCCACAGCCCCAAAUCCCGCUAUCUUGCUCUGGAUUCCUACAGUAUGAUCUAGCUGCCUUGGUCCUGUGGCAUGUAAAAGAUUUUUUUUUUUUUUAAGUCCACACACGAGUCAUAUGGAGGUUCCCAGGCGAGGGGUCAAAUCAGAGGUGUAGCUGCCAGCAAGCACCACAGCCACAGCAACACCAGAUCUGAGCUGCAUCUUCGACCUACACCACAGCUCACAGUAACGCCAGAUCCUUAACCCACUGAGUGAGGCCGGGGAUCGAACCCAUGUUUGAUCCGCUGAGCCAUGACGGGAACUCCUAAAAGAAUUUUAUAUCUAUUUUCCUCUCUCUUUCAGAUGCUGAGUUCUAUAUUUUAUACAUCUAUAGGUUCCGCACAGCACUGCCUCUGUCAAGAGUCUCCAUAAAUAUGACUAAAGAUAGGACUCAGGGUGCAGUGCAUUUUCCCCCCACACACCUAUAUUUAGCACCACCUUGGUGAAUCCACCAGCAAAGCUGUGUUCUAAGAGUCCCCACAGCGGGCACAUCAUUCCCAAGUGCAUCCAUGGAUUGAGUGCAUUCCAGAUGCCAGCACGGUGCUAAGAGUUUGACUCAAAGUUAUAUACCACUCCGUCUUUGCAGGAGCCCUAGAAGCUAAGAACUGCAAUUGUCCCCCAUUUUACAGGUAUGGAAACCAAGGCUCCCAAAGGUUUCUCAACUUGCCCAGGAUCACACAGACUAGAUUCAGGCUAAGGCAGUCUAACCCCAGAUUCUGGGCCCUUCAAUCUUAAACCAGGUUUUCCCUCUGACGUUCCAUAGAUCAUUCUACCUGGCACACAGAUUCAUUCGCCUCUUCUCCAUUUAUAGCAUCCUCAGCCCUGGAUGUGACAGGCACUCCUAGGAUCAUUCUAAAGGUAUGCCAAGAAGACCGAGAGGGAAUUCACUGGCCAUUGUCAUAGGUGGGGCUCCCAACUGUGGAGUGGAAAGCAGCCAAGCCCAAAGCUUCACAUGGGAUCCUUCCAGGCCCCGCUGAGGUCCAGAGGGAGCCCAGCCAAUAGAGUUUCCAGUCAGUGCUCCUGUGCUGUGACUAGACUCGUAUUUGGAAGAGUGACGAGCACAAGAGGAGAAAGGAAUAAGCCUUCUCUGCACAAACUCAGGCAAACGUGGCCUCCUCCAGAGAGUAGUGCAGAUUGAAUACAAAGUCUUGGGAGUAGCUAUUAUGGAUAAAAAUCUAAUCUGGUUCCCACGUUCCCAACUUGAGUAUGAAGUGGGCCUUUUGGAAAGAAGACAAACUUCUUUGGGCCUCUAGGAUCCCACUGCACAUUGAUUAAUAAUGAAUUCCUAUAGAAUUAAUUAUGCUUAAAUGGGGGGUAUGUAAAUCCAUGAGGAAACUCACUGACCUUGCAGAUUGUGGUCAGCUGAAUAAUGGCGCCACUAAAGAGUCUGAAGAUGGAAUCCUUACACCUGUGCAAGUUACCUUAUAUAGACACUUUGCAGCUGUGGCUACAUUAGAGAUCUAGAGAUGGAGGGAUUAGCCUGAAUGAUCCAGGUGGGCUCUCAGUGUGAUCACUCACUAGACCCUCCAAGGAAACACAGCCCUGUCGCCAUCCUGAUUUGUGCCCAGUGAAACUGAGUCCCAGCUUCUUUCCUCCAGAACUAUAGCAGACUAAAUGUGUGUCGUCUUAAGCCACCACAUUUGUGGUCAUUUAUUACAGCAACCACAGGACACUAAUACACAGACUUGCGCCUAUGAGCGAAUAACCCACUUAUUCUGCAUUCAAUUAGCCUCCCCAUUUUCUCUUUUAUUACAUAAGUAGCAAGCUUAAUCAUCCAGUGCUUUGUGAACAAAGAAUGGCAACAGCUGGUCUAGCAAAUGACACUGUUGACUAUUGGCAGGCUAGCUUCUCAUUUCUUCUGACUCCGAGAAAGGGUAGCCCAGGGCAGGCUUCAAUAGGAUCCAUGUGCCCCAAAGUCCAUUGAGAUCACCUGCUGUUCUUCAACAACAGGUAGCAGGUAAAACACUGCAAAUUCACAGCUACCAGCAUGAUGCCACAGUCCCAGACUAUCCCUUCCCUGCAACCCCAUCCCGCGAAGGCAGGGAGAGACAGAAAUCCCGUUGUCGUGGUGAUGCCUGCAGAUCAAGGGCAAAGGAUAAAGUUCUCCUCUCCAGUUGGAAGGAACAAAGCUAGGGGCCAAAUGGACUUAGCCACUGUAACUCAAUUCUUAAUGUUUGGGCCAAGCCGACUUUCAAUAAAAGCUCUGGGGCAAUUAUUCAAGAUAUUUAAUAAACAGUUUUGACCACAUUCCAGGCACUUCCAAUCUUCUGGCAGCACUGGGUGGUAGAGAGCAGACUGGUCUUAGCAUUAGAAAAAUUCACCUUUGACACUUCACAUCUGGGCCUCAAUGUCCUCAUCUGUGAAAUGCGAGGAUCGGAUUAGAUCGGGCUUUGCACCCCAGAACCUCUUAUCUAUGGAUUUCAUUGGUCUGCAUUGUCAAAAUAGUUUAAAUAUCAUUGCUCAAUAUGCAGCUGAGAAAGAGUCUCUUUUAGACUAUACAUGCAAUGAAAAUUAUUUUUUCAGAUGAAACAAUGGAGAAUAAGAACCAUACUUUUUAAAUUCUCAGUAGAGAUGGCUAUUUUUUGAAGGGAGUACUUCAAGAGAGCAAUCAAAAUAACGCCAGCUGGAACUAUAACUAUCUUAUUUGUGAUGGUGAAAGCUGAUGCUAACUAAUCAAGGGUUUAACUGAAUAUCACAUUUCAAAGCCCCUCAUUCGACCCUAGGUAUAAACAUGUGUCUGUCCUGCUAGACCCACUGCCAAACUUUAAUGAAUGAUAUAAACUUGCAGAAGCUCUCGAGACACACACUUUGCCAUUAAGCACUUCCUGAAAUAAACCUAUAGAGUUUCUAACAUCAAGGCACUGCAGAAACUGCUGAUCAUUACGUGCUAAAGAAAUGGACGUAUGCAGUACCACAGGUGCCACAGGUGAGAAAGUGCUUAUCGGUGAAUAUCGUCCACAGUCACAAACCUAAGAAAAUGCAUCGGCCGUUCCCUGGGCUGUUAGCUCUGUGUUUUUUACUUUGCAAGGGCUUCGUCUUUUUCUUUCACGUUUAUACAGGAAAGCAUUUGUUCGUUUGGAAGCUCAGAGCUGGAAGGUCGGAAGGACCUCCGCACCCAUAAGCAUUUCCUGGAAGAUGCAGGAGGUUAAAGAGAUUCUGAGGGUUGCCACGCGCAGGCACCUCCUUCCGGCUCCC